GGCGAACGGGUGAGUAACGCGUGAGUAACCUGCCCUGGAGUGGGGGACAACAGUUGGAAACGAUUGCUAAUACCGCAUAAGCCCACGGAUCCGCAUGGAUCUGCGGGAAAAGGAUUUAUUCGCUUCAGGAUGGACUCGCGUCCAAUUAGCUAGUUGGUGAGGUAACGGCCCACCAAGGCGACGAUUGGUAGCCGGACUGAGAGGUUGAACGGCCACAUUGGGACUGAGACACGGCCCAGACUCCUACGGGAGGCAGCAUG
rnacentral:rRNA from 1 species